CUGUGCCUUUCCACAUGCGGGCCUGAAACACCUGGAAUAACCCAGAUCCCACCUUCCCUUCACAACCCUGUCCUGCAUCUCUUCCUCCAAGAAGUGUUUGGACUCUCCCAGGCUGAGUUUGUUGAUUCCUUAUGCUGCCACAUUGCUCCGUUUAUGAGUUGCAGGAGUGAAUCCUGUUACUGCAACAGAUGGUUUCUCUUCUAAUGCUGACCAGCACUUAAAAAAACAUAAAUGUUUUGCUUAUUGUCUUGAACUUCAACUUCAAUGUGUAAACACAACCCCAUUAAAGCAAACUGAAACUGCU